rnacentral:rRNA from 1 species
AGGAGCUUGCUCCUUGGGUGACGAGUGGCGGACGGGUGAGUAAUGUCUGGGAAACUGCCCGAUGGAGGGGGAUAACUACUGGAAACGGUAGCUAAUACCGCAUAACGUCGCAAGACCAAAGAGGGGGACCUUCGGGCCUCUUGCCAUCGGAUGUGCCCAGAUGGGAUUAGCUAGUAGGUGGGGUAACGGCUCACCUAGGCGACGAUCCCUAGCUGGUCUGAGAGGAUGACCAGCCACACUGGAACUGAGACACGGUCCAGACUCCUACGGGAGGCAGCAGUGGGGAAUAUUGCACAAUGGGCGCAAGCCUGAUGCAGCCAUGCCGCGUGUAUGAAGAAGGCCUUCGGGUUGUAAAGUACUUUCAGCGAGGAGGAAGGUGUUGUGGUUAAUAACCGCAGCGAUUGACGUUACUCGCAGAAGAAGCACCGGCUAACUCCGUGCCAGCAGCCGCGGUAAUACGGAGGGUGCAAGCGUUAAUCGGAAUUACUGGGCGUAAAGCGCACGCAGGCGGUCUGUCAAGUCGGAUGUGAAAUCCCCGGGCUCAAC